UGGGGAAUUUUGGACAAUGGGCGAAAGCCUGAUCCAGCAAUGCCGCGUGCAGGACGAAGGCCUUCGGGUUGUAAACUGCUUUUGUACGGAACGAAAAGAUACUGGCUAAUACCUGGUAUUGAUGACGGUACCGUAAGAAUAAGCACCGGCUAACUACGUGCCAGCAGCCGCGGUAAUACGUAGGGUGCGAGCGUUAAUCGGAAUUACUGGGCGUAAAGCGUGCGCAGGCGGUUUUGUAAGACAGAGGUGAAAUCCCCGGGCUCAACCUGGGGACUGCCUUUGUGACUGCAAGGCUAGAGUGCGGCAGAGGGGGAUGGAAUUCCGCGUGUAGCAGUGAAAUGCGUAGAUAUGCGGAGGAACACCGAUGGCGAAGGCAAUCCCCUGGGCCUGCACUGACGCUCAUGCACGAAAGCGUGGGGAGCAAACAGGAUUAGAUACCCUGGUAGUCCACGCCCUAAACGAUGUCAACUGGUUGUUGGGUCUUAACUGACUCAGUAACGAAGCUAACGCGUGAAGUUGACCGCCUGGGGAGUACGGCCGCAAGGUUG
rnacentral:rRNA from 1 species